rnacentral:rRNA from 1 species
AUGUUCCCUGAGGCCGUUGCCAACCUGGUGGGUGGCACGGUGCUCAACACAUGGCCCGGCGGCAAGCACACCGGCACCGUUAUGGGCAACGGACGACGGCCACCCGGCGACCCCAAACCCGCUGUCAUCAAGGGUUACGUAGCUGUCGACCUCGAUGGGCACCCUUUCCCCGAAACUCUCCAAAUCAUUCUUCACACUGCGCCCACCUGCUACGACGCCAAGUUCUUCCGCCAAAGCAAUGGAAGCGUAGGUGCCAGCGUUGCAUUCGGCGGAUCCGGUGGACCGGACUGUGCUCCGCGGCCCGCCUAG